AUAACCUUCGCCCGCGAGAAGAAGGAGAAUGAAUUAUCAAUCAGCCUCUCCUCCUCCUCCUCCUUCAGAUUCUUCCUUCCUCCGGGUAAACACAGUGAUCUCGGUACUCGAACCCUUAUCCACCUCCACCGUAUGCGCGGCCUUACCCUUCGCCUUCUCAAGCUUAUCAGGGUAUUUCCAUGGAGGAUACCCUCCGUCCCGCCCACCAGCUCCUAAAUGCCAGCCUUGCUGCUACCAUAGACAUGAUAGAGCUUCUUGCUUCUCAUUUCUGAAAGGAUGGAAAUAAAAGAGCCAAAACAAAC